rnacentral:RNase_P_RNA from 1 species
GCGUGGAUAGACGGUCGCGGGUUUCGUAAGAAACGCGAGGAAAGUCCGGACACGAUAGGGUACGGUGGUGGAUAACGUCCACCGACCUUUGAUUGCAGGUCAGGGAAAGUGCCACAGAGAAUAGACCGCCGAUGACUACGUUUUUCGUAGAACAGGUAAGGGUGAAAUGGUGCGGUAAGAGCGCACCGCUCGCUUGGCGACAAGCGGGGCCAGGGUAAACCCCACCGCGUGCAAGCGCAAGUAAGUCCUCGACUUGUUUCGGCAAGUCGCCUUAGCCCAUGAGGUUUGAGGACGGGUAGCGUGCAAAAGUCUGCUGGCAACAGUAGACAUAGAUGAAUGGCCGUUCGCGACAGAAUCCGGCUUAUCGUUCACAAGCAAUC